GCUUCCUUAGAGAUUCUCCACGUGAGGAGGGCUACAGGCUCCCUACAGUUCUCAAGCCAAGCUAAAAUGGUGAGUCCUGAGCCUGGAGGAGCGGAGGUGACGGAGCCAACACAGAGAACUCCAAGAAAACACUGUUACCUUCUUGAGCAGGCCUGCAUAGCAGAAUGAAGGUCAAGACAUGCAUGCAGAUGAACAGCAAGAAAGUCACACCAUUAAAACAACCAACUUAACUUCCCAAAGACCUACAAGGAAAAGGAGACCAAAAGGACAAACACAAAAGCAUGUACCUAAGAUGUUAAUUGUUACAGCUAUUGAAAGCAUGCAUCUAAGAAGUUGAUAC